GAUGAACGCUGGCGACGUGCCUAAUACAUGCAAGUCGAGCGAACAGACGAGGAGCUUGCUCCUCUGACGUUAGCGGCGGACGGGUGAGUAACACGUGGAUAACCUACCUAUAAGACUGGGAUAACUUCGGGAAACCGGAGCUAAUACCGGAUAACAUGUUGAACCGCAUGGUUCAACAGUGAAAGACGGUCUUGCUGUCACUUAUAGAUGGAUCCGCGCCGCAUUAGCUAGUUGGUAAGGUAACGGCUUACCAAGGCAACGAUGCGUAGCCGACCUGAGAGGGGGAUCGGCCACACUGGAACUGAGACACGGUCCAGACUCCUACGGGAGGCAGCAGUAGGGAAUCUUCCGCAAUGGGCGAAAGCCUGACGGAGCAACGCCGCGUGAGUGAAGAAGGUCUUCGGUUCGUAAAACUCUGUUAUUAGGGAAGAACAAAUGUGUAAGUAACUAUGCACGUCUUGACGGUACCUAAGCAGAAAGCCACGGCUAACUACGU
rnacentral:rRNA from 1 species